UAGAGUUUGAUCCUGGCUCACAUUGAACGCUGGCGGCAUGCCUUACACAUGCAAGUCGAACGGCAGCACGGGUGCUUGCACCUGGUGGCGAGUGGCGAACGGGUGAGUAAUACAUCGGAACAUGUCCAGUAGUGGGGGAUAGCCCGGCGAAAGCCGGAUUAAUACCGCAUACGAUCUUUGGAUGAAAGCGGGGGAUCUUCGGACCUCGCGCUAUUGGGGUGGCCGAUGGCGGAUUAGCUAGUUGGUGGGGUAAAGGCCCACCAAGGCGACGAUCCGUAGCUGGUCUGAGAGGACGACCAGCCACACUGGGACUGAGACACGGCCCAGACUCCUACGGGAGGCAGCAGUGGGGAAUUUUGGACAAUGGGCGAAAGCCUGAUCCAGCAAUGCCGCGUGUGUGAAGAAGGCCUUCGGGUUGUAAAGCACUUUUGUCCGGAAAGAAAUCCUGGUGGCUAAUAUCCGCCGGGGAUGACGGUACCGGAAGAAUAAGCACCGGCUAACUACGUGCCAGCAGCCGCGGUAAUACGUAGGGUGCGAGCGUUAAUCGGAAUUACUGGGCGUAAAGCGUGCGCAGGCGGUGAUGUAAGACCGAUGUGAAAUCCCCGGGCUUAACCUGGGAACUGCAUUGGUGACUGCAUCGCUGGAGUAUGGCAGAGGGGGGUAGAAUUCCACGUGUAGCAGUGAAAUGCGUA
rnacentral:rRNA from 1 species